CAGUAGCCGCGGGAAUACGUAGGGUGCAAGCGUUGUCCGGAAUUAUUGGGCGUAAAGAGCUCGUAGGCGGUUUGUCGCGUCUGCUGUGAAAUCCCGAGGCUCAACCUCGGGCUUGCAGUGGGUACGGGCAGACUAGAGUGCGGUAGGGGAGAUUGGAAUUCCUGGUGUAGCGGUGGAAUGCGCAGAUAUCAGGAGGAACACCGAUGGCGAAGGCAGAUCUCUGGGCCGUAACUGACGCUGAGGAGCGAAAGCGUGGGGAGCGAACAGGAUUAGACACCCCCGUAGUCCCUGUCUCUUAUAC
rnacentral:rRNA from 1 species